rnacentral:rRNA from 1 species
GAAUCCGCCAAGGAGUGUGUAACAACUCACCUGCCGAAUGAAUUAGCCCUGAAAAUGGAUGGCGCUGAAGCGGGUAACCGACACCACGCCGUUUGGUCAAGAAAAGCUAUCAAAUGAGUAGGAGGGUGUGGCGGUCGUAUCGAAGCGUUCUCGCGAGAGGGCGUGGAACGGCCGCUAGUACAGAUCUUGGUGUCAGUAGCAAAUAUUUAAGUGAGAACCUUGAAGGGCGAAGCGGGGAAGGGUUCCACACCAACAUUGAUUGGGUGUGGGUGAAUCGUUCCUAAGCCGCGUGGCAAUAGCUAAGCAUUAUGGCGAAAGGGAAGCAGGUUGAUAUUCCUGCAUAUGGAUGUGGAGGCGGUGACGCGACAUCAGAGGCGGUUAAGUCGGCGGUGGCCCUGGGCAGAGUUUUCUUUUCUGUUUAACCAAUCUUGAAUGUAUACUGUGGAAUUCGCUUGUCGAGAGAAACAGAUAUGUUUGGGAAGAGCGCCGGGAUUUCUCCGGCGUCCAGUGCGCCCUCGUCGUCCCUUGAAACACUGUCUGCUGGCACUUAUCCCUCGGGUUGAGUGUGUAAAAGAUCCACGCCAUGACGUACCGAUAACCGCAUCAGGUCCCCAAGGUGAACAGCCUCUGCUCGAUAUGAAUAAUGCAGGUAAGGGAAGUCGGCA